rnacentral:rRNA from 1 species
GAACGAGAAAGUCCGCAAGGAUGAGUAAAGUGGCGACCGGGUGAGUAACACGUGACUAACCUGCCCUAGAGUGGGGGAUAACCUCGGGAAACCGGGGCUAAUACCGCAUAACAUCGCGAGGGGAAGAUCCUUGCGAUCAAAGGAGCAAUUCGCUCAAGGAGGGGGUCGCGGCUGAUUAGCUCGUUGGUAGGGUAAUGGCCUACCAAGGCGAAGAUCGGUAGCCGGCCUGAGAGGGCGCACGGCCACACUGGAACUGAAACACGGUCCAGACUCCUACGGGAGGCAGCAGUGGGGAAUUUUGCGCAAUGGGGGAAACCCUGACGCAGCAACGCCGCGUGGAGGAUGAAGUCCCUUGGGACGUANACUCCUUUCGACCGGGACGAUUAUGACGGUACCGGUGGAAGAAGCACCGGCUAACUCUGUG